GAUGAAGAACGCAGUGAAAUGCGAUAAGUAAUGUGAAUUGCAGAAUUCAGUGAAUCAUCGAAUCUUUGAACGCACAUUGCGCCCCCUGGUAUUCCGGGGGGCAUGCCUGUCCGAGCGUCAUUACAACCCUCAAGCUCAGCUUGGUGUUGGGCCCCGCCGCCCCGGCGGGCCCUAAAGUCAGUGGCGGUGCCGUCCGGCUCCGAGCGUAGUAAUUCUUCUCGCUCUGGAGGUCCGGUCGUGUGCUCGCCAGCAACCCCCAAUUUUUUUCAGGUUCACCUCGGAUCAGGUAGGGAUACCCGCUGAACUUAAGCAUAUCAAUAAGCGGAGGA
rnacentral:misc_RNA from 1 species